CUUAAAGCGGUCGCAUUUGUUCACAAAAAUAUUUAAAUAAUAUAAUCUUGAGAAAAGGUUGAACACAUUUCUCUGGCGCUUUACUAUAAUUUCCACCAAUUAUUCCUAUAGAGCAGUAAUAAUUAAAUGACAUUCAAGUCACAGUUAGUCACUGUCAAGGAAAAUAUUGUUGUAUUGUUGUACUUAUUUAAAAACCCUAGCUCUAUAUCCUGGCCCAUUAUGGCAGCCCCGCGACAGAGUUUAAUUGGGCCACGUUGUUCACCUGUUUGUUGCCCGAGGUGUAAAUUACAAAUCUGAACCGCGCAUAAUGAAUGAAGCAGGCCGAGUGACAAAAUGGAAGCCUAAAUGAAAUGAAAUCGCAGUGAAAACGCUUCUAUUUAAAACCUGGCCAAGGCUUGGACAAAAGUUUUCACGGAGCGCGACAAACUGCGGUCCAAGUUGAUUAGAAAGCGGCCGCACAUUGUCGCCUGGGACUGAAAGUGGGAAAGUGGAAAUGAGGGAAUGAGGAGGGACUACGGGAAUCUGCCAUUGGCAGCAGCCUAAUGAGAAACUUGAAAAUUUACGGUCAACGAGUUGUCAGAGUUCCGGCACCGGGGCAUAGUUUCAGAUGCCAAGUCAAACAAUUAAGCGCUGCUCAGCGCCCUGUUCCCAAUGAAUUCCCAUUUUAAAUAAAUAAUUGCCAACGAAAUUAAGCAAU